GGCGCAGGCGCUGCAAGCUGCGUGCGUUUUCUCAGCUAACUUAUUUAGCUUUGGCACUCCGAGUUCUUUUGCCUCCUCCCUCUUUUCUCUCCAGUGAAUCACAGAACGGUGGAUGGCCAAGGCAGAGGAGGCUUUGCCAGAGGGAGAGCUGCGUGCUGCUCGAGCCUGACGGGACUCCGGAGGAUCCCCCUGGGCUACCGUGUCCCAAGAGUGUCGCCUCCUGCCCAUCACCCCACGAGAGGGAAAGGACAGCGGCGCGAAUGAGGAAGAGUGAAGCGGGCACUUCUUUUCAUGGGUCUGUUGGUGAAGAGCCCCGUCUCCUAUCCCUAAAGUUGCGCGUGCAAACUUUUUCUAGCUUCUGGAGGGAGUGAGAGAGAAGGAGCAGGAGUAAAAACAAAAUGCGUAUGACACUCUUUCCUCUUUCCAACUUCCUUCUCAGGUUUUCCUUUACUAGUCCCGCCACCCCCAUCAUUUUCCUAUUCCUUUUGUCCCUACCUUUUUUUUUUUUUUUCCAGUAACGACAAAUUUUUAAGUUUUAUUUCCUCUCCCAAUAGCUGGCUUUUACAGCCUGAUUCUUCGUUACCUUUUCCCUAUGUGAAGAUACUGGAAUUGCCCACUCCCUCUUUUACCUUUCCCCCAAACUUACCCACAGGGUGUCUCCAGCCAAAAGCGUGGAGAGGAAGUGUUAUGCAUUUCUCCUUCAAGAACCGCGAAGCCAGUCUGCAUUCCUGCAUUAAAGAAGCCAGUGUUUCCCAUCCAGUAAUUCAGGGAGCUUCAUCAUUUUUUUCUUUCUUUCUUUUUUACUGUGUGGAGUAAAACCAUUGUAAAAACUUGU